rnacentral:pre_miRNA from 1 species
GAGAUACCCUAUGGUGCAAGACUUACUUCAGUGGGGCUUUGGUGCUCACUGAGUCUGCCCCCUGAGUGUGUCCCU